GAUGAACGCUAGCGGGAGGCCUAACACAUGCAAGCCGAGCGGUAGAGUCUCUUCGGAGACUUGAGAGCGGCGCACGGGUGCGGAACACGUGUGCAACCUGCCUUUAUCUGGGGGAUAGCCUUUCGAAAGGAAGAUUAAUACCCCAUAAUAUAUUGAUUGGCAUCGAUUGAUAUUGAAAACUCCGGUGGAUAAAGAUGGGCACGCGCAAGAUUAGAUAGUUGGUGAGGUAACGGCUCACCAAGUCGAUGAUCUUUAGGGGGCCUGAGAGGGUGAUCCCCCACACUGGUACUGAGACAUGGACCAGACUCCUACGGGAGGCAGCAGUGAGGAAUAUUGGACAAUGGGUGAGAGCCUGAUCCAGCCAUCCCGCGUGAAGGAUUAAGGACCUAUGGUUUGUAAACUUCUUUUGUACAGGGAUAAACCUACUUACGUGUAAGUAGCUGAAGGUACUGUACGAAUAAGCACCGGCUAACUCCGUGCCAGCAGCCGCGGUAAUACGGAGGGUGCAAGCGUUAUCCGGAUUUAUUGGGUUUAAAGGGUCCGUAGGCGGAUUUAUAAGUCAGUGGUGAAAGCCUAUCGCUUAACGAUAGAACUGCCAUUGAUACUGUAAGUCUUGAGUGCAGUUGAGGUAGCUGGAAUAAGUAGUGUAGCGGUGAAAUGCAUAGAUAUUACUUAGAACACCAAUUGCGAAGGCAGGUUACCAAGUUACAACUGACGCUGAGGGACGAAAGCGUGGGGAGCGAACAGGAUUAGAUACCCUGGUAGUCCACGCCGUAAACGAUGCUAACUCGUUUUUGGAUUUUCGGAUUCAGAGACCAAGCGAAAGUGAUAAGUUAGCCACCUGGGGAGUACGAACGCAAGUUUGAAACUCAAAGGAAUUGACGGGGGCCCGCACAAGCGGUGGAUUAUGUGGUUUAAUUCGAUGAUACGCGAGGAACCUUACCAAGACUUAAAUGGGAACUGACAGAUUUAGAAAUAGAUCUUCCUUCGGGCAGUUUUCAAGGUGCUGCAUGGUUGUCGUCAGCUCGUGCCGUGAGGUGUUAGGUUAAGUCCUGCAACGAGCGCAACCCCUGUCACUAGUUGCCAUCAUUCAGUUGGGGACUCUAGUGAGACUGCCUACGCAAGUAGAGAGGAAGGUGGGGAUGACGUCAAAUCAUCACGGCCCUUACGUCUUGGGCCACACACGUAAUACAAUGGCCGGUACAGAGGGCAGCUACACAGCGAUGUGAUGCGAAUCUCGAAAGCCGGUCUCAGUUCGGAUUGGAGUCUGCAACUCGACUCUAUGAAGCUGGAAUCGCUAGUAAUCGCGCAUCAGCCAUGGCGCGGUGAAUACGUUCCCGGGCCU
rnacentral:rRNA from 1 species